AUGGCCGUGGACGAUGAGAUGUCGCGCCGGUUCCUCCCCUGGGGCCUGCCCCUCAGGAGCGGUUCUGGGUACAGGGUAACCCCGAGGCCGGACGAGCCCGUCUAUGUCACCGGUGCAUACCUGCUCGACUCCGAGAGCGCAGUCGGCCAGGGCGCCGUGGACGCCUGCGUCCAUAUCGACACGCGGAACCUCCUUAGCGCGUUGCUGUCGCCGGAGAACCCCCGCGUGGAGCUACAGACCCCGGUGCGGCUGGAGAUGGACAAGGAGUGUUGCUUCCACGUGGUGCCGCAUGGAGGCGAUUCCGACGCCGAAGCAGACACGGACGCCGAUGCUGAGACCGGCACAGACGUCGACGCCGACACCGAUGAUGACGCAGACGCCGACGCGGUUAUCGUCAUGUUCGAGGGUUUCCUUGUUACCCCGCAACCUCUUGACACGGCGGAGGAGGAGGAUGACGACGCGGAGGAGGAGGAGGAGACUGGCAGCGACGACGACGGGUACGAGGAGAAGGAGGAUGAGGACGACGCGGAGGAGGAGGAGGACGAGACUGGCAGCGACAACGGCGAGUACGGGGAGAAGGAGGAGGGGGAGACUGACGCUGAGGUUGACCGAGACGUGGCCAGGGCGAGCAGUGCCGGCGGCAACGCCAAGGAGCUUCGACAGGUUGUAGCUAUAACUAUGGCAUUCCUAGGCAUCCUUUUGUCUGUCUCUACGUUAGCAUUCCUCGGAUUGAUAGUGUAA
rnacentral:rRNA from 1 species